AGACCCAGCUUUUAUACCGAAGAACUGGACUUGUGCUGCACUGCCAGUGGCCUCCUGAUUCCAAGAAAACUAUCAUCACUGUUGCCUCCCAUCUGCUCAUAGUCGCUGGCCAGUCCUUCUCUGAACUCAUUCCAAGACUUCAUCAUCAUCAUCAUCAUCAUCAUCAUCAUCAUCAUCAUCA